GGCCAGACUCCUACGGGAGGCAGCAGUGGGGAAUAUUGGGCAAUGGGCGCAAGCCUGACCCAGCAACGCCGCGUGAAGGAAGAAGGCUUUCGGGUUGUAAACUUCUUUUGACAGGGAAGAGCAGAAGACGGUACCUGUCGAAUAAGCCACAGCUAACUACGUGCCAGCAGCCGCGGUAAUACGUAGGGAGCAAGCGUUAUCCGGAUUUACUGGGUGUAAAGGGCGCGUAGGCGGGAUGGCAAGUCAGAUGUGAAAUCCAAGGGCUCAACCCUUGAACUGCAUUUGAAACUGUCGUUCUUGAGUACUGGAGAGGUUGACGGAAUUCCUAGUGUAGCGGUGAAAUGCGUAGAUAUUAGGAGGAACACCAGUGGCGAAGGCGGCUUACUGGACUGUAACUGACGUUGAGGCUCGAAAGCGUGGGGAGCAAACAGGAUUAGAUACCCCAGUA
rnacentral:rRNA from 1 species